rnacentral:rRNA from 1 species
UACGUAGGGAGCAAGCGUUGUCCGGAAUCAUUGGGCGUAAAGAGCGUGUAGGCGGCCCGGUAAGUCGGUUGUGAAAGUCAAGGGCUCAACCCUUGAAUGCCGACCGAUACUGUCGGGCUAGAGUCCGGAAGAGGCGAGUGGAAUUCCUGGUGUAGCGGUGGAAUGCGCAGAUAUCAGGAGGAACACCGAUGGCGAAGGCAGGUCUCUGGGCCGAUACUGACGCUGAGGAGCGAAAGCGUGGGGAGCGAACAGG